GUCUUUUUUUUUUUUUUUAAAUAAAUUACACAGUCUCAGGUAUUUCUUUAUAGCAGUGCAAGAACCGACUAACACGAUAGGUCAGUUUGCAUCUCCCCAUGUUUUGAACACAUGGAAUCUCUUACAGUGUUUACUCUGUCAUGUGAUGCCGGCUUCCCUCAUUCGGCAAAGUAAUUUUGAGAUUCUUUCAUGUUGUGCGUGCGGAUAAUUCACUCCUUUUUGUGACGGAAUGGAACUCCACUGGUUGGACAUAGCACGGAUUAUCUGUUUCCACAUCAAUGGACAUCGGGUUGUUCCCAGUUUGAGACCAUUACAAAUAAAGCAGCCGUGGACAUCCUUCACAGCGACAAGGCAUUUUCAUAUUUCCCAGCGAAAGGCCUAGGAGAGGAAUCGUACAGCAGAAUUAUUCACAACAACCAAGAGGUGAAACCAUCCCAAACGUCCAUCGACAGAUGCAUGUACUCAUCAGUACUGAGCUGAAGACGCAAGAAGGAGCCUCCGCAGGCCUCUGUUCCUCUUUCACUGUGCAGCUCUCUCCUCCCUGGCACUCUGCCCUGAGAACUCCAGCUUUCCUGUCCUCCCUGGACUCCCAGCGAAGUGUCCUCAGCUCAGGGAGACCACGCGUCUUUGCCUGUGUUACACAUCCCUGUGCUGCAGCCUGGAAACUCUCUAGGUGGUAUACAGAGGCAAUCACAGGGCUCACCUCACUUGCUUUCUCUCUUGGGGAUUGCCGAACUUUACUGUCUUUUAAGUCUGAUGUCUUGAAAACUGCGGCUUAAGAUAUUUUCCUGGAUUUUAUAAACAUAUGCAAGUGGUUCUGUGAACACCGA